GGAGUAAGCGCCGUCAACGGGGAGCCGCGGAGGUCGAUUUUGCCGCCGUCCUCACAGCGGGUUCCUGAGACUGUAAUCUAAGAAGAUUUGGAAUGGCCAGAGAAUUACUGAACACUGAAAAAGGCAAAGCGCUGAAGCUAACUUUCAACCAGUGGAUACAUUACAAUUCUGUAAUCUUAUUUUUUAAGAGAUUAGAUGAAAAAAUAUAUGUUAGCAAUCUAAACAAUGUAAUAAUAUCUAUAGAGAAUAAGUGUCAUUGAUUAAAUUAUAAAUAUAGUAUCUUAUUAUGCUUUUGGGGACAGUAGAAAUAUGAAUAGCACUGCAGGUAUUUUUGAAUUAUAAGAGGAGAGAAUAUUGGCAAAUUUUUCAACAGCGGUUUAUCAUGAAAAAGAAGUUACAGUAACUCUUCCCCUGUCAUAGAGAGUGAAAAAACCUCACUUGUAUAUUAAUAUAUUAUAACAAUGAUGCAUGAAGCUAAUAAAAAAAACUUUUGAAAGAGG